CUAAUGUGUCAGAAACAAUGUAUUAAAUUUAAGAUUUAAAUAUGAAAUUUCAUUAUUCCUUUAGUAA
rnacentral:tRNA from 1 species